rnacentral:rRNA from 1 species
UACAGAGGGUGCAAGCGUUGUUCGGAAUUAUUGGGCGUAAAGCGCGUGUAGGCGGCUUUGCAAGUCGGGUGUGAAAGCCCUCAGCUCAACUGAGGAACUGCGUCCGAUACUGGAUGGCUUGAAUCCGGGAGAGGGAUGCAGAAUUCCAGGUGUAGCGGUGAAAUGCGUAGAUAUCUGGAGGAAUACCGGUGGCGAAGGCGGCAUCCUGGACCGGCAUUGACGCUGAGGAGCGAAAGCCAGGGGAGCAAACGGG